GCGGGAAUAGCUCAGUUGGUAGAGCGCAACCUUGCCAAGGUUGAGGUCGCGAGUUCGAGACUCGUCUCCCGCUCCA
rnacentral:tRNA from 1 species